UGCGCCUUGCCACGCCCGCUCAGAAACUCAAAUGAAGUUGACGGGGCCCGCACAAGCGGUGGAGUAUGUGGUUUAAUUCGAUGCAACGCGAAGAACCUUACCUGGUCUUGACAUCCCGGAGACCCUUUAGGAAACUAGGGGGUGCUUCCAUCUGGAAGAAUCUGGAGACAGGUGCUGCAUGGCUGUCGUCAGCUCGUGUCGUGAGAUGUUGGGUUAAGUCCCGCAACGAGCGCAACCCUUGCCUUUAGUUGCCAGCAGUUCGGCUGGGCACUCUAAAGGGACUGCCGGUGUUAAACCGGAGGAAGGUGGGGAUGACGUCAAGUCCUCACGGCCUUUAUGACCAGGGCUACACACGUACUACAAUGGCCGGUACAAAGGGUUGCCAAGCCGCGAGGUGGAGCUAAUCCCAUAAAACCGAUCGUAGUCCGGAUCGCAGUCUGCAACUCGACUGCGUGAAGUCGGAAUCGCUAGUAAUCGUGAAUCAGAAUGUCACGGUGAAUACGUUCCCGGGCCUU
rnacentral:rRNA from 1 species